GAAGGUAUAGCUCAAGUGGUAGAGUGCAUGCUUAGCAUGCACAAGGUCCUGGGUUCAAUUUCUAGUACUUCCU
rnacentral:tRNA from 1 species